rnacentral:misc_RNA from 1 species
CACACCCGCUGCAACCGUCAUCUCCGUGACAGCAAGCGCCUUCCGGUAGCCCGUAUACUGUGGCCUUCCCUCUCUAUCUACUUGUCUUUGCUACUCAUCGAGCACCGCGGAGGUCACGGCGAUUGCAGUCGCCUGGCGCGCAUACACACACCACACUACACCUUCCCCGCCGCCAUCUCCGCGUCUUCAUGUACUCCUUCAGCCUUGCCUCAAACCGCAAGAGUGCCAUCUCCAACUCCUCAGGGCUGGCGCCACCAGCAGCCGCGCACGUGAUUCGAGCCCCGUCUGAACUCAAGCCCCAUCAGCGUCUGCCGCAGCCGCCGAAUGAGGCCGACGAUGACGAUGACGUGAUACAUGUGUCCAACGCACGUUUUGGCUGGCAUCCCGCGCAUGAGCACGCGCCGACCUCGUCGCUCUACGCUGUUCGCCCGCCGGCCGAGCAGCUCGUGCAUGUACAUAAUCUGAACGCCUAUAUGGCCCUUCGCGACGCCGCGGACUGGUCUGUUGAGGUGCAGCGUGAGAGGGAGCAAAAGAAGCGGCGAGCACUCGCCCAGCACGAGGCCGUCAAGCUCGAGGAGCAGCGGCACCGUGACGCGCAGGAGGAGCAGACAAAGAAAGAGAUGCAGCAGCGCCGGUGGGAGCGGCAGCAGGAGCGCGCGGAGCUGCGUGAGGCGGAUGCAAUGGCCGACUUCCAGGACCGCAACACGCAGUUUCUGCAGAACCAACUUUGGCUUAUGCAGCUGGGGAGCUACGUCAGGCAAACGGAUGCGCAGCACAAGGCGCAUGCACGAGAAGAGCUCCACAAGAGCUCCUUCAGUCGCAAUCAUCUGGAUGUAGGUCACACAAGUACGACCAGCUGGGGCGGCACCAACGUCAGGGGUCACCACACCUCCGCGCCGUCCACCGAGAUCGACCUGCGCCAAGCAGCGGAGGCCACCGAAGAGGCGUACGUCCGCCUCAGUCUUGCCUAUCGCAACGAGGCGCAGCGCUCGCGUGCCGCCGCGGCGAUUCUCAAUCCUGGUGAGCUCACCGGCAAGGGGCGCUCUCGGCCACGGGCGACACGCUCCGUCGGCGCCUUUGCAUCGCCUACUUCACCGUCAGCACCGUCACAAGCCGCCACCGCCGUCAGCACGCCGCCGCACAGCCCGGCGGCGUCACCUGCGCCAACCGCGGUGACGGAGGCGGCAGCGAAAGUCUCAGCGCCCUUCCACACGGCACCGCCCAUGUUCACCCACACAUCGGAGGAGAACAUGGGCCAGCACGCGAACGCCAUCCCGUACACGUACAUCCCCGAGUACUUCGACGCCCCGUCCGCCGCCGCAACUGCAGGGAAGGUGCCGGCCCCGCGCCGCGCUGGCGAGCCGCCGGAGCAGCAAGAGACGGGCGCUGUGAUGCCCCUUCCCCUGUCCCCAGUGCCUGUCAGUCGUGACGUCACCGGUGCACUGCAGGCGAGGUAUUACCCGUGGGCCCUCUACAGCGCCGCCGCGGUGCGCAAAUCGAUGCUGCCACCACUGCCGCCGCCGCGAGAAGCGUCGCUACCGGUCCGCCGGUGGGGCGCAGCGGAGCUGCGCGACUCGAUGUUCGGUCACUGCAUUCUAGAAGACGGCACGAUCCAGGAUCAGUGCGAGCGCAAGAAGAUGUGUGCGGCGUACCUGGGCUACACCACGCUGCCACGCGACAACGCCACGGCGACGUCGAACGCCGCUGUAGAGCCGCAGGAGCCGCUGCACUUCGGCAAACGGAUGGAUAUAUGGCUGUGAGGCAUGCAAGAGUGGAUGCACUCUCGUGUGUGUUGAUGAGCUGUGGUGAUGAUGGUGUUCUCCGGGUGUGGACGGCCGUGGAAAGGAAUGGCAGGGAGGGACCGUCGGCUUCGCGGAGGGGGCACCUACGUGUGUGUGUGUGUGUGUGAGCUGCAUCGCCUGCCCUCGCCCCUUCCCCUUUCCUCCGCCAUCUCCUCUCUGUUCGGCUAUGACUGAGCGCCAGACUUGCGGCCCAGAUGCACGUUCCUCGUCGCAUCUGUGUCUGUGGGUAUAUUGGACCGUUGGGCCGUCGCGUUUUGCUUAUUUUCGUGCAUGUAAACUAUCACGGGUGGGUCGAAGGGUUGCGCGGGACGGGUGAGGAGGAAGAGGCGCAGGGUGCGCGUAUGUGGGUGUGUGUGCACGACCUGCGUGCGCACCACCAUCGCCGCCGCCGCCGCUCCUUCACCCGCAUCAACCCUUCUAUGUAUUCCCUUUCUCGUUAUUCCAUAUCCGUGCUCGUCCACAUAUGCGUACGCAAGCAUGUACACGCAUGCAACCGCGUGUGUGAUGGAGGGCACGAGAUGUGGUUUUCAUGGCACCGUUGAAAGCCUCUUGGAAGCAAUG